UACGUAGGGGGCAAGCGUUGUCCGGAAUCAUUGGGCGUAAAGCGCGUGUAGGCGGCCAGAAAAGUCCGCUGUGAAAACUCGAGGCUCAACUUCGAGCUGUCGGUGGAAACUUUCUGGCUAGAGUCCGGAAGAGGAGACUGGAAUUUACGGUGUAGCGGUGAAAUGCGUAGAUAUCGUAAGGAAGACCAGUGGCGAAGGCGGGUCUCUGGACAGUUCCUGACGCUGAGGCACGAAGGCCAGGGGAGCAAACGGG
rnacentral:rRNA from 1 species